rnacentral:lncRNA from 1 species
ACCACAAUCCCAGUUGUUUGCAAUAAAUGGCUUGUCUUGAUUUUCCAGAUUAUAGCUAGAAGAUUGCCUCAAACGAUGAAUUGUAGAAUGGAGCAGGAUGUCUGUGUGUCUGCGUCUUCACCCGGGUUUUUCAGGCCACUGUGUCUGUGAACUUAGCUCUAUGAAAGCAAGAAGCCUAUGAGAAUUCCGCCAGGGGCAAGCCUGGCCUUGGCGCUUCACUGUCUUAGCGUGUGUCUGGCCCUCCCAUUCCUGGCCAAGGCCCACAGCCACCACAGAUGACCUGCUGAUGCCUCUGCUGAAAUCCGUGGCCACUGGCCAACAGCUUGACAAGAGUGUCAGCUCCCUCCCGAGACGAAAUCAGAGGAAAACGCCUCUAGUUUCUAAGAAGCACACAGGGAGCCACUUCUUUACCGCUAGCUCCUGCAGGAUCUGUGGGAUCCUGCAGGUGCUGGUUUGCCUCCUGAGCCCUGUCCUAAGGACACUCUGCACAUCGCCUCCUGUAUUCUCAGCAAGCUUUGUCCCCGCCUUCUGCAAAAGCUGUCUUGCUGGUCAGCAGUGACAUCCAUGCUGCUAAAGCCAGUGGAAAUGCUGGGCCUCAUCUUCCUAGAAGCUGCACUUGACCAUGGCCUCCCCAGGCUCUCGUGCCCGCGUUCAGCCCUCACCACCUACCUGUUGGCCAUGCAAGCUCCUUGCACACACCAGCUGCGUCCCACCUGUGUGCCUCUUGGACGUGCCUGGAAGCUCUGUAGUGCAUCGCUGCUCUCCCCCAGUCCUACCUCGGUGCUGCCCAGAGAGCUCCGCCUGGUCCCCAUUCACCUGCUAUCUCGUUCCUCCCAUGCCACAUUUUUUCUCCUUAGCCCUCACUCUCUAGCAUACCCCUGUUAGUUUUGUAUAGUGCCUGUCUCUGCCCACUAUAAUGCGAGCUCUGUGAGCAUAGGGUUUAUCUGUUUCUUUCUUUGCCGUAGGCCCAGCACUAAUAACAGGGUCUGUAUCUGUUUGUGGAAGAGACUUGCUGAGAAAGCAUGCUUUACAAAGUUCUGUGUGUUUACAGCUGUGUCCUGAUCAGCUCCCAGGCCAGUACCUCAUCAUCGUGAGUCUGUUCUACAUGAGAGUCCCGCACCGUCUGAAUGCGCUGUGUCUGGCCUGGAUGCUGCACCCUGAUUCCUCAGGGUAACAGUCAUUCACCUUUGGCUGCUCAGCCUCCAAGCCACACGCCAUGGUCAGCCUCGGCCACUAUCACAGCUGGUCCUGGAGGCUGCAGGGCUCCCUCUCUUGGACCCAGUACUCCCACUACUCCCUCCCCAACUGAUAUGGUUUGGCUGUGUCUCCAUCCAAGUCUCAUCUUAAAUUGUAGUUCCCAAAAAUUGCACGUGUUGUGGGAGGGAGUUGUGGGAGAUAAUUUAAUCCUGGGGGGCGGUUUUCCCCAUACUGUUCUCGUGUUAGUGAAUAAGUCUCACCAGAUGUGGUGAUUUCAUAAGUGGUCUCCCCUUUUGCUUGGUUUUCAUUCUCUCUCGUCUGCGCCAUGUAAGAUGUGCCUUUGGCUUUCCACCAUGAUUUUGAGGCCUCCCCAGCCACGUGGAGCUGUGAGUUAAUUAAAUCUCUUUUUUUUAAAUAAA